rnacentral:rRNA from 1 species
GGACUCGCGGCCUAUCAGCUUGUUGGUGGGGUAAUGGCCUACCAAGGCGACGACGGGUAGCCGGCCUGAGAGGGCGACCGGCCACACUGGGACUGAGACACGGCCCAGACUCCUACGGGAGGCAGCAGUGGGGAAUAUUGCACAAUGGGCGAAAGCCUGAUGCAGCGACGCCGCGUGAGGGAUGACGGCCUUCGGGUUGUAAACCUCUUUCACCAGGGACGAAGCUAACGUGACGGUACCUGGAGAAGAAGCACCGGCUAACUACGUGCCAGCAGCCGCGGUAAUACGUAGGGUGCGAGCGUUGUCCGGAAUUAUUGGGCGUAAAGAGCUUGUAGGCGGUUUGUCGCGUCUGCUGUGAAAGACCGGGGCUUAACUCCGGUUCUGCAGUGGGUACGGGCAGACUAGAGUAUGGUAGGGGAGACUGGAAUUCCUGGUGUAGCGGUGAAAUGCGCAGAUAUCAGGAGGAACACCGAUGGCGAAGGCAGGUCUCUGGGCCAUUACUGACGCUGAGAAGCGAAAGCAUGGGGAGCGAACAGGAUUAGAUACCCUGGUAGUCCAUGCCGUAAACGUUGGGCGCUAGGUGUGGGGCUCAUUC